rnacentral:tRNA from 1 species
CGGGGACUGGCGCAAUUGGCUAGCGCGCGCGCUUUGGGAGCGUGAGGUUCCCGGUUCAAGUCCGGGGUCCCCGA